rnacentral:rRNA from 1 species
UACGUAGGGGGCUAGCGUUGUCCGGAUUUAUUGGGCGUAAAGAGCGUGUAGGCGGCCUGGUAGGUCUGCUGUGAAAACUCGAGGCUCAACCUCGAGAUGUCGGUGGAAACCAUCUGGCUAGAGUCCGGAAGAGGAGAGUGGAAUUCCUGGUGUAGCGGUGAAAUGCGCAGAUAUCAGGAAGAACACCUAUGGCGAAGGCAGCUCUCUGGGACGGUACUGACGCUGAGACGCGAAAGCGUGGGGAGCGAACAGG